CAACGACCUUUCCUCAGAGCUUCUUACUCUUGAGUAUCUUUUAUGUGGAAAGGAUUUUGUGAGGAAGCGGAAACCCACCUGGGACUCUGCACCGCUCAUGGCUCCCAGCCAGGGAGAGGCCCUGCCUCUCCUUCCAGCCCAAUUCUCACAGGGGAUCCUGUUAACAUGCAGAUUCUGAUCCAGGAAUGAGGAUGGGGGAUGACAUGGCACGGAAGAGACAGGAACUGAUGAUACCAUCUUGGACCCAGCCCUGGAGAAGAAAAUUUCAACUUCUUACAAUGAAGGUGAAGACGGCCAGAACCAGAAUGGGCAAUCACGGUACAGACCUGCCGCAUGUCUCGGUGGCCAAGGGUGAGAAUACCAUUCCCACAGAGCGGAGUGAUCAAGAUCACGGGUGCCCGUUUAACGGAGGUGGGGCUGGUCAGAUGGAAGAUUGUGGGAAGAGAGCUGUGACAUGUCUUUCUCCGGCUUUCUUUUUUCAUUCGAAGAGAGCAAAGGGUCAGUCCUUAGGUCUUGGAGUCAGAUGGCCUGAGUUUGCACCUUGGAAAAUGCCACUUGGGAAACUGGUUCCAUACUAUUUGGCAGCCUACAAGCCCCACGGCUCCUCUACUUGCACUGAGGCUAAUGGGUUUCCCAAAGAGAG